rnacentral:tRNA from 1 species
GCCUGGGUGGCUCAGUCGGUUGAGCAUCUGACUUCGGCUCAGGUCAUGAUCUCGCAGUCUGUGAGUUCGAGCCCCGCGUCGGGCU